UACGUAGGGUGCGAGCGUUGUCCGGAAUUACUGGGCGUAAAGGGCUCGUAGGUGGCCAACUAAGUCAGACGUGAAAUCCCUCGGCUUAACCGGGGAACUGCGUCUGAUACUGGAUGGCUUGAGUUCGGGAGAGGGAUGCGGAAUUCCAGGUGUAGCGGUGAAAUGCGUAGAUAUCUGGAGGAACACCGGUGGCGAAGGCGGCAUCCUGGACCAUUACUGACACUGAAACGCGAAAGCCAGGGGAGCAAACGGG
rnacentral:rRNA from 1 species